CUCUUCAGCUAUGUAGAGAGCGCGGCGAACGGCUCAAUAACACGUAGUUAACCUACCCUCGGGAUGGGAAUAACCCCGGGAAACUGGGAUUAAUGCCCACUAGAUGAUUAUACCUGGAAUGGCUUAUCAUCGAAAGAGUCUGGAAACAUGCUUCCAGCGUCGCCCGAGGAUGGGACCGCGUCCGAUCAGGUAGUUGGUGGGGUAAUGGCCUACCAAGCCUAUAACCGGUACGGGCCCUGAGAGGGGGAGCCCGGAGAUGGAAACUGAGAAAAGGUUCCAGGCCCUACGGGGUGCAGCAGGCGCGAAACCUCCACAAUGCGCGAAAGCGUGAUGGGGUUAUCCCGAGUGCCGUCCGAUGAGGAUGGCUUUUAAUCGAUGUAAGGAUUCGAUAGAAUAAAGGGGGGGCAAGACUGGUGUCAGCCGCCGCGGUAAUACCAGCCCCCUGAGUGGUAAGGACGAUUAUUUGGCCUAAAGCGUUCGUAGCCGGCUUAUCAAGUCUUUUGUUAAAUCCAACGAUUCAAUCGUUGGGCCGCAAAAGAUACUGUUAUGCUAGAGGACGGGAGAGGUCGACGGUAGUCCAGGGGUAGGGGUGAAAUCCUAUAAUCCUUGGAGGACCACCAGUGGCGAAGGCGGUCGACUAGAACGUGCCUGACGGUGAGGGACGAAAGCUGGGGGAGCGAACCGGAUUAGAU
rnacentral:rRNA from 1 species